rnacentral:lncRNA from 7 species
GCACAGUGAGAUAUUAAAGGAACAGGGUGUAGGGCUUUCUCUUUCUUUAACAUGCAAAGAGGAAAAAAGAGAUAAGUAUUCCAGAGUCUACUCAGGGCUAUGGAGCUGUAAUAGACCCACACAUGCUCAUAUCAACACUCUUCAGUUACCACUGAAAGGAUUUUUCUGUAUAGUAUAAGAAAGUGAUUAUGCAAUGACUUUCAUUUUACCAUUUAGACUACCAGGAAAGAGUAAUGCCAGUUGAUGUGCUAAAAGGAGGACAAGUUGCCAGUCUAGUCCAGGACAAGAGAGUUGAUCUCAUGCAAGUCACUGAAGGUCAUUAGAGCACUUCUUCUGUUCAAACACACUUAAAAAUGUAAAGUCCUUUACAAAUACUUUCUGAUGCAGGUACCUUUACAUAAAUUUUACUUUGUUUUUACUUCAGAGACUGCUGUUGCCCAAGCAUAGCUUUUAAAGAAGCCUGAUUAUACUUUAAAAAAGGGUUAUUUUGGGUCUGACUAAUAAAUGAACAUCACAGCCGGGGUCAUACUAACUGUGGUUUUGCAAAAAGAAAAAAAAAAAAACAAAUUUUAUCUCUUCAUUUGAUGAAUAUGCAUUUUCUGAAAUUACAACAAGCUGCUGAGAUGCCUGGAGGACUUAAGCCCAUUAAGUUGAAUUUUGGACCUGACCUGGUAAAUAUUUGUAGUUCAAGUAUAUGUUAAAAUUUUUCAUUUAAUAAGUAGCUAUGAAUGAGGCAGCUCAAUGAGUAUUCAUAAGAAACAACCAGAUACGUACAAACACUGCAGUCUGGAAGAGGGUCUGACAUUGAAAAAUGUUAUGAAAUGUGAAGGUCCUUCUCCAAGUUUUCUGUAUUAUCAAAGGUAAUAUUGAUAUUGCUACCAUGUAAAAUUUGUUUAUGACUUCAUCUUAUUUAGUUCCUUGUCAGAAUGAAACAAUUUCGUUUACUUGCAUAAACAUUAAGAUGUUAUCAAGCUGAGAAAUCCAGUAAUAGGAAAAGAUAGAAAUAGAAAAGAAAGUCAAGAUGUGUUUUUAAUUGAAUUAAAAAACUCAGAAAAAAAUAAAAGAUCUGCAAGGUUCUUCAACUUCUUGAGAGCAUCUGUCACAUCCCACAUGGGGAAUGAAAUUUGCAAAUCCCUUCAGAUUAAAGUGAAAUGCUACGCAAUGUCAUUUCCUCCUUUUCAAGAAGAGAACAUCAACUUCAAUAGGAUAUUUCUUCAAAACUGUUAUCCUAUAUGCUUUGGUCCUCUCACAAUUAUAUCUACAUAAGCUGUGCAAUUUUAUAAGGAAUUCAGAAGAGAAGAGAAGAGAAGAGAAGAGAAGAGAAGAGAAGAGAAGAGAAGAGAAGAGAAGAGAAGAGAAGAGAAGAGAAGAGAAGAGAAGAGAAGAGAAGAGAAGAGAAGAAUAAAUUCUGUUGACAGUAAAAGAAUAUACAACCUGAAACCUUACAAGAUAAGAAGAGUUACAAUGUAGAAAAUGUUGAGAUAGUAAGAAUGACUCAAUGGUCCAUGAAGAAGUAAAGAUAAUACUGAUCUUCAGAAAAAGUUAGAUACCCCUUUAAUCCCUCACACACAGAAGAUGAGAAGUCAGCACAACUGAAUUUCAGCCAUUUGGAGCAAUGGAGGCUGAUGGUGAGCAUGUGAACAGAUAAGCCUGUAGCAUGCUAAACCUGCUAUCUAUCAUGUAUUAGCUAAUGAAAAGCUAGUGUGUACUGUUAUACAUAUACUGGUGACAAAAUGUCUUUUCACAAAGUAAUAAUAAAAUAUCCAAACAAAUACGUUUAUGAUGGAGGUUUACACUGUGUUCCUAUAUAAGACAUGUAAAUUCAAUAAAACAGUUGAACAUGCCCCUCUUAUCAAUAAUGUGAAACAUGAGCCAGGGUAAUGGCCCAUAGCUCUUUUCCCAUCUCCUUUCUUAACAGGCCAUAUAGACAUAGGUUACGUUAUAGCCCAGACUAUGAAGGCUUACAAGAGAGCUAGAAGUAACCUGAGAUCCUUCCAUUUCUUUGUGGUAUUGUAGUGACCUAGUGAUCUUCCACCUUGGGAAGUCUUUGUGAUUUUUGAUCUGACCAUGGAGCUUUUCAGUGAAAAUAGAAAACUAUGCUUUUGUAUCUUGUAAUUUAUAUCUUCACAGAGGAGGAAUUUCAUCAGUUGACACUGUUAUUCUUAUAGGCUAUUCCCCAGGAGACAGAUGUAAAUCUUCAUGAAGUUUGAAGAGUAGCUUGUAUAUUCUUUGGUUUUCGUUUCAGAGGGUGAUUUAUAAAGAGUAUGCUUAUGAUUGACUAAAUUUUGUUUGUCCUGGUUUAAGUAGGGAAUGAUGAACAACUACUGUACUGAUAAACAUGAAUAAAGGUAAUUUUUGU